UUACCNGAGUACUAUGAAUCUUUAAAAAUUUAAAACUCAAAGAACUUGGCGGUGUUUUAGACCACCCAGGGGAACCUGUCUCGUAAUCGAUAAUCCACGUUACACCUGACCUCUUUUUGUUUUCAGUUUGUAUACCGUUGUCGUCAGGUAACUUUUUAGAAAUUAGGAGUUAGCAAUGAAAAUAUUGAUAAUUUAUUAUGUCAAAUCAAGGUGCAGCUAAUAAAGAGGGGAGGAUGGGUUACAAUUAUAUAAUUUAUAAUGACGGGUAAAUAUAUGGAUAUGUGUUGAAUUAUAAGGAGGACUUGGAAGUAAAUUAGAGUAUAUAGAUAAUUUGAAUUAGGCUCUGAAACGUGU
rnacentral:rRNA from 1 species